UGGGGGGAGAGGGAGGGAGUGCACCUGGCGGGGAGGGGGCCGAAGGGGCUGGAGUUCCGCUUAAAAUUCUGGUGAGGGUCCAGAUGAGCCAAAACGGAAGACUAUUGCCCCACUGCUGAGGGAUAGAAAAUUAAAUAUUCUGCAAGUACAGUAUAUGCAGUAUUUUGCUGUUUGGCAAAACCUUGUCUGCUAUAGGGUGUGGGUCUUGGGUCUUGUUUUGUUUUGUCAAUCUGAUUAUCACGCGUUUUCCUUAGACAACGAAAGGGCUCCAUCUGGGCAGAAUUUAAGGCACUCUAGGGACACAGAGGAGGUGAGGAUCCAAUUCCAUUUCAGUAUCAGAAUUUUAUUUUACUGAGAGUGCAGUAUUUUGAAGAUGUUUCUGCUCACUGCGUGCUGUGAGAAGCACAGCUCCUGAUGAAAAUAGCCCCACGUUCCCUUUAUUCGAGACGUUUUGUCCGGAUACUGCAGAAACCCAGGGUUUCGGUUGUGGCCAAAACUGUGGUGGCUAAUAUGUGGGGUUCUCCCCCUGCCUCGGAAAACUGGGAUUUAACGUUACUAAGUUGAGUUUCUAGUUCUUCCUUCUUACAGCGUCGCCUUAAACAUAGAUGAGAGAAGCUCUAGAUCUGAGGGCAGGGAAGGUUGGGGUGGGUGUGUGUGGCUUUUGCCUGAUGACAAAUCAAACUGACAGAUUGUACACACGCAGGCUUGUGUGUGUGUGUGAGGCCACUUCAGGAAAUGAGGUCAGGGUUCAUUAGCAUGAAGUGCUUUUUUUUGUUGUUGUUAAUGGAAAGUUUGCCUGAAAACUGUGGGCAACCCUCAGAUCCCGUGAUGUGUGGAAAGAGCUCUGAAGGCCUCCAUCCUCUUUUGUUCUGGGUGUGAGACGAGCCGGCCUCGUCUUGAAUUGCUGCAGCAUCACCCUGGGCCCUGUGGUCGUCAGCUCCCCACUGUGACUGGGGGUUUAGUUUUCCUCCCUGAAAGUGCAGAGUGUGGAGCGAAGUCUCUGAGGAUGGGGAGGGUAAAAAUAGAGCACGUGUGCCCAGGACUAUGUCCAAUCUCCUGCCUGAGUGAUGGCCUCUGUGAGCAGCGCUGAGGCGUCCUUCAGCCCGAGGCAGCCUCUGGGAGGGGUUAGGGGUGUGGAUGGCUGGCAGGGCCUCUGCCUCUGCCUUUUGCAUCCUCCAGUGGUCCCAGAGGAGAAGCAGCUUUUGUCUUCAGCUGGGUGUUCUGGGUUUGGAAGGCCUAGAGGCUGCUUUUCUUUGCCUUGACAGGUGAAAAGGUGUCUUUGUAGCAGGAGUUGGGGACCUUUUCCUCUGGUGGAUGGAACAAAGAGCUGUUUCUCCUCUAGAAUCUGUGCCAAGUGAAACUGCUCGUGGCUCCUGGCAGGAGGCCAGAUUGAAGAGGCCAGGGAUGGGUGGGUGGAGGAGGAGGGCGAUGUGAACAGAGGGGGGGAGGAACUUUCCCGGAGGCCUGCAGGGCAGGCUGGGGUGCCGGCCCCUCACUGCCUUCCUCACCAGUCACUCCCUUUCCUUUUUGGUCUGCCAGCCUUGCCCUAUGGAGGUUAAAAAGUGAGUGGGCGGUUCCUUGCUAGGUGAGGUGACAGUUCCUCACUCGGGGCUGGUCUCACUGUAGGGCCACCACCCAGAGGGGGGUUGGAGAACGUGAUCAGAGGACAAGGAAAAAAUCCUUCAAGAAGCUUGUCCCGACCGAGCAGAACCUCCAGCAGGAUAGCACAGCAGGCGAUCAGGGUUCAGACCUCAGCAUCACACCUAAAGCCUAGGGAUUACUUGGUCAUUUACCAGGAACUCAUACAGGGGUGCUCGGGCCUGCUGGAGCUCACGCUAACCUCUGACCCUCCUGUUUGGUCUCUUUCUGCUCGUCUCCUGUCACCCUUCUUUCCCUAGAGUUUUACCAAGUAGCCACCGGGUACUUGUUGGAAAUGUUGGUAUCCCUUCCCUGCCCGCCCCCCCGGGCUUAAUGCCAUGAAGGCUUGUGAGGGUGGCAGUGAGGAGAGCUUCGGAUGAUUCGCUUCUGUCAGAAGGCCGUGUCCAUGCCCCGGCAGGCCUGCGUCCCCACCUCCUCUCUCCCCUUUCCACUCUGUGGUUCACUUGUUCUCGUCUUCAUUCUCAUUCAAUCAUGAAAUAGAUUUGAACACACUCGCAUUAAUGGCCCAGGUACUGAGUUUAAUUGCUAAGUUGUAUUUGCCCUGUUGGAGCUUGUAAUCAUGCAGGGAAGACAUAUUAAACAGGUAUGUAUUUUGUUUUCUCAGUCUUUAAGAGGACCUCUCACUCCUGAGCUGCCACACAAGGGUGGAGGUGACCUGGGCUUGCCCAGAAGCUCUGGAGGAAAGUUGGAGUUACUCUGCAAUGCAUGGGUCUUCGUCCCCUUCUCUUAUUCAUGCAAGAGUGACAAAGAGCCUUGGAAGGGGUGGGCGCUGGGGAGGGUCUGAGCCUCCGCACUGACCCGUUAGUUCUGUGACCCAAGAUCACUCAGUCUGCAGCUCAGUUUCCCCAUUACCUUCAGGAAGGUACUGGAAUUGCUUACUCCUCAACUUGCUGUGAGCAUCAGGUGAGCUUAAUGUGAAAGCACUUUAAGAAGUACAGGGCUUCCCUGGUGGCGCAGUGGUUGAGAGUCCACCUGCCGAUGCAGGGGACAUGGGUUCGUGCCCCGUCUGGGAAGAUCCCACAUGCCGCGGAGCGGCUGGGCCCGUGAGCCAUGGCCACUGAGCCUGCGCGUCCGGAGCCUGUGCUCCGCAACAGGAGAGGCCACAACAGUGAGAAGCCUGCGUACCGCAAAAAACAAACAAACAAACAAAAACAAAACAAA